UCUGACCUGGUCCCUCGGCGCACGUCUCGGCGUUCUCGUCCCGCUUGUAAAGCGAGGUCCAGCCCAAAAGAGAAGACUUAAAAAGAUAUCCAGCAAUUUGAUUGAUGCAUCGGAACCUAACAAGCUGAGCACUACCACACCGGAUGGAUUACUGUAAGAAAAAAGACUACAUGGGCUUGGAUUUCUCGAAAAAAAUCUUGUCUGACUUUUCUUUCAUUUGAGCAGUCGUUUCGACUUACCUUAUUCUCUCUUUCGAAAAAUCCAAGCCAGUUUAUGCAACAACAAAAAUGGUUUUAAUAGUAAUUUCAAGUUGUUCUUCUGCAUGUCAUAUUUAUACUUUUAAAAUUUGAAUGUGAAAGAUACUUGAAUAUUUACCUCAUAAAUGUAGAAAAAUUCUCAUUACAUUUCCAACAUCACAGUGUCGACUCCCAACAGGGGUAUGGAGAUUGCCCUCUAUUCCCCAAUUUAAAGUGACAAAUUUUGUAGUUCAAGGCAAGUUGUUUUAGAAUGUAAAAACUUCUCAAACAAUUCUUUUUAUCAUAACCCAAACGUAGUAAAACUUUUCAAUCUUAUGCCCAAAACUGAUGUGACGUCAUUAAAAAGCUGCCAUUGGGUCGGUCUUCCGUGACUUAAUAUCUGCACGCAUUUAUUUUUACUUGUGGCCUUGAUAUACAUGUACAUGUAUUUAUCAUUCUGAACAAACGAAGUGAAGUGAGCGGAAUAUAUUUCAGUGGCAUGUAUAAAAUACCAUUCACAUACCCUGUAGUGACUGUAUACGGGGCAGCCCAUCACUCAUUUGACCUUGACAAGAUCCAUUCACUUGAACAUGUAUCUCCCUUGUCCUCGCGUGGUUCCCUAGUGACGUGUACUUACAAAUUAUGUAAUAUCUAACCUGCUAAUAUAUCAAUGUCAAUUUUGAUGAAUUAAGUAAGCGAAAUAAAUGUUUAAAGAAAUGUUAUUUAUUUACUGUUGACGUGUUGGUUAAAAAACCUUUAUUUACUUCCUGAAUUAAUCAUAUACAAUCUUUGCUUGAUUUGAUUUUUUUUUUAAAAUCUACAAUAGCUGAAAUAUCUAUUACGAAUUUCUAAAUGAACGAAAGUCAUUUGUUCAAUUCAGGGAACAUGAGUCACAAUUUUAUGUCCGUUUGACGAUAGACAAACACACCCAGUGUCAACACGCUGCAAGAACACGCCAAAGUGUUGUAUGCAAAGUGAAAGUCUGUCCGGGUGGAAAGUGGGUACGAGAUGUCUACACAAAUAAAAUGCAUUGCGAUAUCUGAUAUCUAUACACAGGAAUUUAAAACACGCAAUAACAAACGAUUUCAUUAUAUUUGAUUAUGGCACGUGGUCACCGUAGUGGAAAUGAUGAACAUAAGAUACGGUCAGCGCCGGAUUCCUCCGGAUAUAAUGGACUCCUGAUUAAGUAUCGGGCGAUACCUGUAUAACAUGCUGCAUGGUAAUAACAAUCAUAUCAACUAUCUCUCGCGUAGCGUACGCAUUCAUUUCAGGUGUGAUUUAUGAAUGAAACAUGUGGGAGUGUUUGCUUUGUGACGAAACAAAACCAAAUAGGACUUGACAGGCGGUAAAUCCAGACGUUAGCUACGGGUUGCGUAAUUUGUCAACACUGUGCUCUCAUUCACCGGAAGUCAUAGGAGGAACUCGCCAGGUACGUGGUAUGGGGGAUUCGGUGGUUCAUUAGAAAUAUAUUGUAUACAAUUUCAUCAUCGUAAUCAUCAUCAUCUGUAUGUUAUGGAUAUUUUGAGUAUUCGUGUGAACGUUGUAACCCAACCCCAAAACAUUGUAAGUUCGCUGUUAUCCCGUGAAAUUUGAGACACUCGUGGUUCUAUUGUUAACAUUUCAAUCCAAAUGAUAACAGUUUUCAUUAAUUUUCUAUUCAUUUUAUUUUAGAUAAUGUAGGAAAGUUUAGUUAUUUUUUUUUAGGAAUUUGAAGUGCAAUUCAGCGGCUGUGUUAAAUUUUAAUUUUUUUUAUAUUAUAUAUCAUUGGUAAAGUAUUUUAUAAAUUGAAAUUUUCAGAAACUAAGGUAUUAAUCAUGUACAGGUUUAUUUGUUAAAAGUUAAGCAUUGCUUGUCCCAUUGUUAGUUUGGAAGUUGCUUUAAUACAGGUAGACAACAUAAAAAAUCCGGGUUUUAUUUGGUUCUGUUUAUUUUUGGAUGAUGUAGACAUAGCAAAUCAUCGUACAACUGUAAGUCAAAAUCUAGAACUAACAUAGUCCUUAUCGGGAUGAAACUCUAAGUGGCAUUUCCUAACGUAAACAUGAAAAAGGUGGAUAUAUAGCUAUCUUGAAUAUUGCGUAUGACACCGGAUGCUUAAUUCUGUAAUAUUAGACAUUCUCUUUAAAAUUUGUUAGCAGUAGAUCCUUUAUACUAUAGUGGUAGCAUGAUAUCGCAGGGCUUCUACAUUGUGACAGGACGCUUAGGAAUGUAGGAUACAUAUAAAAUGUCGGAGUAAUCAUACUGUUCAACAAAUGUGUACACUGUGUGUAAAUUGUAAAUGACAAACAGAAAAAAAAAAUCCUAUUAAUAGUAAGUUGAGUGCCAUGCAUACCAAUUUUCUCACGGAUUGGCAUAAUGAUCAGCUCCCAGAUAUGUACACGAUUCAAAAAAUGAAAUCUUUCAAUAUUAUAUUUUGGCCAAAUAUAGCUGAUAUUGAUAUAGAUUAGAUUGAAUUGCGUAAGUUGUGAACUAAACGUGUUUUAAAUCAUCAGCAACCACAUACGCGUGUGUUAUGUGUACUUUUGUAGAAUAUUUUGACAUUGUAUUAAAUUAUCAAUAUUGUACUUUGAAUUAAGAGUGACAACACAUUUGACAUACAUGUAUAUCCUUCCGUGUUUUAUAUUCUCUGCAUAUUAUCUAAUGCGGAGCUCUAGGUCAAUUGAGCUUGAGGGACCUAUCUGUCUGUUUUCUGCCCUGUCUGUUUACAAUAUCAUAGUAUUUAAAUUGAAUUAAUUAAGGAAGUCUGCUACACCAAAGGAAUUUGAUAUCGAUGUAAAGUGGAGGAUAUGUACAACAAUAUUUUUAAAGUGAAAACUUUCAAAUUUACUUUAUUUAGUAAAAAAAUGCAGUUAUAGUAGAAAGCAAUAUGAAUUAAAUUUAAAACCCCUGCUGGACUCGAACCCGCGAUCUACAGUUCAGCUGUCGAUGACGUGCUUUUUUUCUUUCUAUUUUAUUACAGUCGAUGUGCUAACCUACUUUGCUACUCAGCUAGGCUAUGAUUUUUUAAACGAAUAGACAAAUAUUGCUGAUAUUUAUAUUUUCACUCAUGUUUAAAAAUAGAAGCCGGGCAUUAUGACGAUGUAGAGUACCUCCGUAAAAGUUAGCAAAAAUGAUUUGAGAAAUCAAAUAGAUAUUCUGAAAUUUGUGACCCCGCGUGCACUUUUGAAAAUACAUUGUAUGUAUGCAUCAGGAAAUACCAUGCAGGUAUAUAUAUGCAAGGGCACGUGUAUAGAUAAGUACAUUCUGAUGUCAAUUUUGUUUCGUCCCUUAACUAUAGUACCAAGUCUCAGAAAAUAUGGUACGUUAGAGAGCAGUACGAUUUCUAUAUUAGACACGUGUAUCAUUGUAACAGCUGACGAACCAUAAAAUAUCGAUGAAAUGACAUCUUCUUUAGCGUUUGGUUUGCAUUUUUAAGCAUUGUAACAAAUUUACAGUUCCCCAGUUGUUUCGGACCGUCUUUGCGGUGGAAUCAGGUCGCCAAUAGUUGCGUGUUUACACGGAUUGCAACAAGAUCUAAACCGGAAAGACGGAAAGAAUAUCAGUUUGUCGGAGCACUUGCAAAUUUUUCUUGUGAAAUAUGUGACAAACGUCAGAACAUCGGGUAAAUGAGAGAGAAAAAACGGUUUCUCGUCACACAAUAAUUUGCACAGACUAUCAGAGUGAUCUAUUUUAGUUUGCGUGAUGUGUGAAAGCCCAUUCAAACCGAUCUUUCAUUCGGACUGCGAUAUCGUUAGUGUAUACAUGUAUUUAUUAUUUUCGUGUAGGAAAGGAAAAUCACGUUUUCAUGCAAAUCCUCUGUUUAUGUUUAACUGGGGUUUUUUCAGCAGAGAAUCAACCUGCUAAAAACUAAUAACACAGACACCAAAUAUGUAUAGAUGAAUGCCAAUUCAAAUCAACCACCAAUUGAACAUUGAAAUCUUUAAAUAAUCUCAUAUCAACAAAUAGUGAUGAUAAUGAUGCCUUUCAUUACACCAAAGCAAAACACUGCCGUAGUGUUAUUUUUCUAUAUUAACAUGAUAUGUAGAUGGAAAUUGAUUAAAUAUCAACAUAUCGACAUUACAUAUUGUUAGCUGACCAUAUCUGAAGUUUAGGAAAGUUUUUCGUGGUGUUUUUUUUCUGUAUUGUGAAUUUAAGUUAACUUUGCUUCAACAAUUAUUCAUUUACAUCGACCUUUUUUCUUUCCUUUUUUACAAGGGAUGAUUUCUCCUGUAUUUGAACAGCUCUCUGCUCUUAGUUGCAGACGUGCCGCCCAGCUACCAUUAUCUAAAUUAUAGUAAACGUUAUCCCCGGUUGGCUGUCCUUGUAUUAAACCAUUUACGUAUUCAACAACACAUCUUCCUCUCACGACAUUCAAAUUUAAUCUAAUUAUAAUUUUUCAUUUGUCAGUACAUGUACUUCAAAGCUUAUCGUCUAUAAGAAAUUGAGUUGAACCAAAGCAUUUACUAGUUCUCAUUAUCAUUUUUUACAUAUAUGUAAAGUAUAUUUUGCGAUGAUUAUAUUACCCCCUGCGAAGAAGGUUACUGUACAUUUAUACUUGGUUACAAAAGUUUACCCACAAUUCCACAAAUAUAUAAGAAGGGGUACUGUGGGAUCUGAGGUUGGUUUGCAGUCUCUUAACACUCUUGUUUGAAGAUAAAUACCCCGGCAUGACACUAGAAUUUUAUACAAGUUGUACAAUUGUGGUUUAGCUUUGUUUGUUGGUGUCUUGUAUUACGCGUACGUCCCAUUUAGGAAUUGUUCGCUGCAUGAUAUCGACAUGUCACCUGCUGUAGUUGAAGUGCCACACAUUUUGACUUAUGCAUGUCAUGUAAGGUCGCAAUCUCAGUUUUAAAGGUCAGAUAAGAAAACCCGCGACUUUCACUUUUAAUGGUGGGUACUUGACGAAGGAACAACCAUUAUGUUAAACGUCUUAGGGUUGGCGCGGCACCGGGACAGAGAAUCGAACCCAAGACCUAAACUAAGGGGUUCUGUUUCACCUUGUGUUUGUACGAAACGAACGCCAUCACAAGAAGGAUACUGCGACUGGUAUGAGUUCAAUAAUCUCUUUGUUGACACAUUUCCUCUCUUCUAAUUCCCCCGAGGUAAUCCUUUCAUUGUGUGUUUUGCUUAAGAGUCCUUACAGAGACUUACAUCUGUAUGUAUCUUGUAUUGCGGUUCACGUACACUUAACUACCCCCCUUUGACACAGCAUUGGUCAAGCCACUGUCUACCGUAUUUCUGAUUCCAGAUUUCAUUGUUGUAUUUCCCAAUAUCUUCACUUUUGCAUGCGGUAUUACAAAACGUAACCCCUUCUCCUAAAAUUGUCAAAUUUCAAGGCUAUAACUCGGUCAAGAACGCCCACGAUAUGUAUUUCCCCUUCUCAUCCUCACGUAAAUAUCUGAUGUCACAUGUUAUAAAGAUCCUAAUUAAUCUUUUUACCUUCUCUUUUAUAUAUUGACUUAAUUUUUCUGAUAAUUACAGAAGAAAACUCGAACGUGUAGCGUCAUUAAUAUUAGCUUAAUUUAUCUUUUCUUUUCUUUUUAUCGACCUGGGUUAAAAUUCCAGCGAUCGAUUAGAAGGUCCUAGGUAUUUUGCCAGCUUGUGACAAUCAUCCAAUGUGGGUGUGCUGGCAUUAUCAGAUCAUGAGAUUUGUCAUUCAAGAUAGAAAUCAUAAAAAGGUAAUAAUAGAACCGUGAUUGGUUCUCUUAGUAAGAUAACACAUGGAUUGUGUCAAUUACCGUAACAGAUUGGACGGGGGUGUUUUUUCAAACUUUUGAAAUUGAUAUAUUCAGAGUGGACAGUCGCCAUGAUCUCUGUCCUUUAGUUUAUACGACUAUAGAACAGAGUUCAGUGCUAUGAGAAACUGAAGGGUUCUGUUUCACCUUGUGUUCGUACUCUAACGAUAUGCUUCCCCUGUUCAAUAUUUGAGCAGUUCCAAGUUCGAUCGAUCUAGCGAAUGAUUCUUUUGAGUGAAAAUAAUCGUUUGGGGAUGUCAAAGAAUUCGAUCCGUUGUAAAAGUAAGUUUUAUAUAAUUUUUUAUCUAUCUUCUUUUGGGUUUAGAUUUUUUUGUAAUUUCAUAAAUUUUGCAUUUAUUCUUGAUUAUCAGAACUUCAUAUUAAAUGCGUAUGUUUACAUGGCUACACGCAAAUAUCAUGGCAGAGAGAGAGAGAGAGAGAGAGAGAGAGAGAGAGAGAGAGAGAGAGAGAGAGAGAGAGAGAGUUCUUCUAUUUCAAGAAUCCCGAUCUCACAGAAAUAUAAUUAAUAUCGACUUUGAUUUGAUCUUUUUCUCGUGAAAAUAAAUUUGUUAGUCAAAUUGCAAUGCAUUCAGCGAUUUGACAUUCGUAAAUCAUAUCUAAGUGUGCUGCCCACGUGGUGUUUUAUUAUAUAUAAUUUAGACAGCGAUACAAACACCAAUCCCCUUGAUUAUAUAUAACUUCUCUGAGGAAAACAUUGCAAUUAAGUAUUAAAUGAUACCGAGAUGGGAAGAACCUUCCUUCAAUUUCACGUAUGUCCGACAUAAACGGUUUUUAUAGCGUUUGUUACAUGCAACAACAGAAUAAACUGUAUUGAAAUAAUCUUUUCGUAUUCAUGGAUUUCAAACGUUUUAAGAUUUGUUAUAAAACCUUUGAUCAAUAUUCAAAGUAUAGGGAAUAGAGAAAUUAAAUCAGAAACAGUUUAUACAUGUACCACAUGGGGAGGUUAUUUACAUCCGAUUUGCUGAAGGCGAAACGCACUCAUUCUUCCGGCUAUCUCUAAUUAAAAAAAUUGCUAACAGUUUGUUAAUUCAUUUUUGUUUGUAGCAAGCUUGUUGAAAGAGAGCCAGCAAAACUUGCAGUGAAAUCAGUUAAGUUAUAUUCUUUGUCGAUGAAGCAGAUCCGACAACAGUGAAAUCGUUUUUUAGCUUUUAAUUGGGAAUCCAUAACGUUAAUACGUUUUCAUCGCUGUAACAAGCUUCGAAAUGCCAAUUUUAAUAAGAACUUUAGAAAAAUCAGGAAAAGUAAACAGUUGUUAUAACAGAGCUUUUUUAGAUCCGUGUUACUCGAUGCCAUAAAACAAAUUUUAACCACAAAACCGGCUUUCGUCUUCUUUUUUUAUUUAUUGUCAAGUGAAUCCUAAUGCAUCUAAAAGGCUAUAAAAAUCUUUACAAUAAAGUGCUUUACACCGCGUGUCGUAUCAGUUGUAAAUAUUACCAUACACAUGUACAUGUAUCGUGUAUUGUAUCAGCUAAAUUGAUUAUGGACGAAUUCUGAGCAAUGAUGCCCAGAUGUUGAUAACUUCCGUUUUUUGUAAAUGUUGUGUAUCAGUUUCAUAUGAAAGAGGACCCAAAGGAUUGCCACUUUCCGUGUUUGUAUCUUGCACUGCCGCUCGUAUGAUUUAAUAUCAAUAAGAAAACUAACACUGAUCAAUGUAUAUACAGUAUGUAAUGAAUGAAUGAAUGAUAACAACUGUUGCAAGGACAUGAGAUCGGAGCUGUUAUUUGCUGUAAAACAGGGGCGAGGGUACCUUAGAAUUCAAUAAAGUUGUCAGUUGUUUAGUCUUUAGAACAAAAAAUAGAAUGCGUGUGUGCUUUAUAACGAUAACAGUUUCUUAUAAAAUAUUAUCAAAACCAUCAACUAUAGCGUACACAACGUUGUGAUAUUAUAAAAAUCUUGAUUUUUAUGCGUCAAUCUUGAUUUAUAUUUGAUAGUCUUGUUAUUUAUGUGCGAAAAUAUUGAUUUAUAUUCGAUAAUCGUGUUAUUUAUAUUCAUAAAUCUUGAUAUAUAUUCGAUAAUCUUGUUAUUCAUAUAACACGAUUGUUGAAUUUAAAUCAAGAUUUUUGCAAUGAAUAACAAGACAAUCGAAUAUAAAUGAAGAUUUAUUGAACAUAUUAAUUAAGACUUAUCGAAUAUAAAUCAAUAUUUAUUGAAUAUACAUCAAGAUUUAUCGAACAUACAUCGAGAAUUCAAGAUUUAUCACAUUUAUAUUGUAAGUCAAGAUUAUCGAAUAUAAAUCAAGAUUUUUACGUAUGAAUAACAGGUUAUCGAAUAUAAGUCAAGAUUUUCGCGUUUAUAUAUCAAGAUUAUCGAAUAUAAAUCAAGAUUUUCGCAAAUAAAUCAAGAUUUUCGCAUAUACUGUAAAUCAAGAUUUGUAUAAAAUUGCACAUUUUACAAGCCAUAAUCCGUGUGUAGGCAUAAAUGUACAGGUGACACUUGUUAAACGUGACCACAUGUGCUGAUUUGAAUGUUUUGUCUUUCCUAUUUCUUGGAUUUCAAACGAAACAAAUAGAAUUAGAGAAUUUUACGCAAACGCUUCAGAAUCAAGGUCACGUUUUCAAGGUGACUACAGCGGGGUUCAUUAUUCUACGUGUACCACAUGGUCAUUUAGACAGUCAAAAUCACUGCAAAAAAUCGCAAAAUUAUUGGCUGUACAAGUUCAUGUCGUUGGGAUCAAAAUGAACGGGAUGUGUAAAAUUUUAAGAUGUUCUCUAUUUAUCAACGAUACAAGCGUAACCUUACAAUGCAGUACACUACGGUUCAUACUGUCAAUUGUUUGUGAGGCAUGCAGAGAAGAAAAAUAGGAGACUAAUUUAUGAGACUAACUUUAUGGAGAAUGAAUAUGAGGGCGUUGGGGGUGGGGGGGGGGGUGCCGUAUUAAAGAACAGACUUAGUGAAGAUCUAGAGUGUCUUGUAUUUCCUAGUUUGUCAUUAGCUCACCUGAGCGUCUGUGUACUGGUCGGUCGCUAAUAUCAGUUGUCGUCAUCAGCGGCAACAUCGUCGCGUUAACCUUUCACAUAAUUAACUUCUCAGAAAGUUCUGGGCCAAUUUCGAACGUGGCACAACACAUCCUCGACUGGAAGGAGUUGAUGCUUUCUAUGUAGACUAGAGCUGGUUUUUAUUCGCUGUAUUCCCCUAGGUUUACUGGUCUAGAGCUGCAUUGCUCCGUAUAAAGGUGUCGCAUGGUCGCGUACUAUUUCCUUACACGGAAUUCCCAUCUGACUAUAUAAAGUUCUGCCUACGUAUUGUCAUUUUAUAUAUGUAUAUUUCCGUAUGUCUAUUUCUAUAGAUUUCCCUGCGCGAUGAAACGACAGAGUUAUGCCGAGACACUUGAACGCUACAUUAACGGGUUGAUGUGUUCAAACGGCACACUGAGUUGUUGGGAAAUAAGUUUGUGUAGACUCUGGUGAAUACUUUAUACGGGGAAUUAUUGACAGGAAAAUAAAUUUGAGAAGGAAUAAAGUACAUCACAAAUCCCUCGUCUCUUUAAAUAUUUUAUAUUUUUGGUGAGAUAAUUAAGUGGAUGAAACCGUUGGGCUGUAAAUCUGCAGAUCGGAGUUCGAAUUUGUAGAGGUGUGAAAAUUUUGUCGUUGAUAAUUGUACAAUCAAAUUGUAUUUUUUCGUUGUCUAACGUGAAAUUUAAAUUGUUCAUUACUUUGCGAUAAAAGCACAUACAAUUAUUAUGAUACUUCAAACACACACCAUACCAAUAUUAUUAUAUUUUACGUCCGUUAAAAGCGUGUUUAUUCCUCCCAAGUAAAGGUUGGUUAAAAUGCAAACUGCUAAUUUAAAAAAAAAAAAUGCUUAAAGGGUCUAUGCAAUUUUUAUAUAAUACAAGUGAUUAUUAAAAUUAUGUCAGUGCUAGUAAAUUAAUUUGAAAAAUGUAAUUUCGGGGGGAAAUAUUGAAAUCACUCACUCCUGGAUUGGAACCCGCGGAGUUAAAGAAUUAUGCGCUUGACAGUUCCUCUUCCGCCACAAUGUUAGCCUGAAGAAAGAUACUUAAUACAGAAAAUAAUAAUAAAACUUACAGUUCCUAUUUUCAAAAGAACGAAACAAAUGUUUUGAUCAAAAUUAUUCAAUUAAAGAGGAGUAAUAAAAACGCAAUCCGAUGGGGUAAUGGUUUAAAAAAAAAAUGAAUUAAAUUUCUUGUAAAUUUUCCCCCUCGUUCAAAUGCUCAAAAUCGAGAAAUUAGCUUGAUAUUUUAAUAUAAUUGAAAUUUUUUUAAUUACAUACCGGUACUGUACAUUUAAUUAUUUGAUUUAUUCACAUUGUAUUAUUCGAAGACAGACGUUAUUUCAGUAGGGCUUCAUUUUCAAUUUCGGACGUGCAACACUCCGGGGAAAUGACAACACCCCCUUUCUUCAUGGGAGGAUGAUGUCAAAUUAACAAAAUCCUGUAAUUAUUAUAUAGACACGUAGAAUGACAAGACACCCCCUCUCUGGUUUCACAGUUGUCAUUAUUUGUAAUACUGAUCCCAAGAGGCGGCCAUACAUCAUAGAGGAUAGCGAAUUGCCUAAUUGCCAAAGUCUUCCAAUCAGGGAUUUUGUACAGUAUUUUGCUAUAUAUGGAGUUAUCGAUGAAUCAUCCUUCUUUUUGACAACCUGCACAUUGCAACACACCAGAGUCCCCCAUUCUGUGACUGGACUAAUAUCGAUUGGGACUCUCGUGAUAAUAUACAAAAGUCUUCAUAUCGCAGUAAAUCCUAGGCUUAUUACGUGUACUGAUCGCUGUCACCUAGAGUCUCGUGGUUAGAAGGCCGGAUAAUUAAAGGCAUAAUAGUUGUAAAGUAAUUCUAUACGGAAGGACAAUGUUCUUAGUGCUUAUAUAAAUUAGUGUAAUUGGGAUAGACAGAUGUGGAAUAAUGUUCAAAGACUAUUGAAUGGUUGACCACUAGCAUGGAAAACGUUUCAACAAAUGGAACAACGAUUUCGGAAGAGGAAUUUCGCCGGAGAAUUUCAACUGAGAUCUUCAGUCGCCAUCUUAUCCCAUCCUUAGUUUACGUGAUAGUGCUUUUCUUAAUUGGAGUCCCCGGAAACUGCCUAGUGUGUCACGUGUACACCAAAAAAUGGCGGAGAAGACGAAAACCGUCGACCCUUUUCGUGCUAGCUCUUUCGUGGUUUGAUUUACUGAACAAUUUAGUGUCCUUGCCGACUGAAAUAUAUCUUCUGACCAACUACAUGUCAUUUGAUUCUCCAUUUUUAUGCAAAUCCUCAAGAUUUGUGACAUUCUUCAUGAAUGCGGCUUCCUCCGUUGUUCUUGUUGGGAUUGCAAUUGACAGAUUUAGAGGAAUAUGGUGUUCGUUUAAAACCAAACCAUUCAGUGUAUCGAGAGCCAAGUUUAUCGUCAUUCUCUCAGUGAUCGUCGCAGCAGUCACGUGUUGGCCCAGUGUUCUUCUGUACGGAACCCACACCAUUCAAUCAAAUCAGCAUUUUCUAAAAUCUUGCCUUAUUGAUGAUGAUUUCAGUGACAGUAAAAAUAACAUUUAUCCUUUCAUAUAUGGAAUGUAUUUAUUAGGGUCUAACGUGGUCGUGGACAUAACUUUCAUUGUGUUAUAUUCCUUGAUAGGUAUACGAAUAUACCGUCGACGUCAAUUUGGUAGUCUGAGUCCAAAGAGGAGUUGGAGUACAGUGGUGACUUUCAAAAGGCGACCCAGUCUAUGUUCUUUCUCUAGCACAACCAACAUGGAGGAAGACAGCAUUCCAUUGAAUGCUGGGAAGGGUAGCAAAUUUUGCGCUAGAUUAGUGCGCCAGGAAAGUUUUACAAGUAACAAAUCGUACAACAAUCUUAGAUAUAAGUACAAUAUGAAUCGCUCAGUGGACUCUCUGCCCGCCAAAGUGAAUGGAUUAAAGUCCGAAAACUCUUGUCGAACUCUAUCGAGAAUAAGUGAAAUGCAAAACAUGACACUGGAUCAUGAAUACCGAAAACGGUCUGCGAGUUUACCCGAAUGCAAUGUUUUACAUGUUGGUUUGACUGAUGGUAAAAAGUCUCCCAAAAGCACUUUGUUGAAAGGAAAAAGUUUAUCCAGACAGGCAUCCUUUAUAUCUUCGCAGACUCUCCCUAGCGAUGUCUGUCGGUAUGGUCGGACUUAUCACACAGGGAGAACUACUUUUAUGUUGUUUGUUGUGACGCUGGCGUAUGUUUUAACUUUCGUACCCUACUGUGUGAUAGUUGUAAUACGUUACUCAGACGAUGGGUUUUACAACAGACAAAAUGACUUACAAAAGAAUUUCUAUCAGAUAUUCCUACGAUCCUAUCUUCUAUCUAGCGCUAUCAAUCCACUCAUAUAUAGCUUCACUAGUCAAGCAUUUCGUAAAGAGUGCGCAGCUCUCUCAAAAAAGUUGUUUUGUAAACUUAGGGCCAUGAAUGUGUGAACUAUUUAUUGUUGAACGACAAUUUAUGUCGUGUUAUUAUUUUUCAAGUAUGUUUCUCCCAUCAAAGCUAUGUGUUUUAAUUGUGGAUCAUGUUUAACAUGUAGACAGGCGACUGUGAUUAACUGCGGGCCUGCGAUUUCAAAUAAUAAAUUUCUGUAUUUGUUA